rnacentral:rRNA from 1 species
CUGAACCAGCCAAGUAGCGUGAAGGAUGACUGCCCUAUGGGUUGUAAACUUCUUUUAUAAAGGAAUAAAGUCGGGUGUGGAUACCCGUUUGCAUGUACUUUAUGAAUAAGGAUCGGCUAACUCCGUGCCAGCAGCCGCGGUAAUACGGAGGAUGCGAGCGUUAUCCGGAUUUAUUGGGUUUAAAGGGUGCGUAGGUGGUUUUUUAAGUCAGUUGUGAAAGUUUGCGG